UACGUAGGUGGCAAGCGUUGUCCGGAAUUAUUGGGCGUAAAGCGCGCGCAGGCGGUCCUUUUAAGUCUGAUGUGAAAAGCCCCACGGCUCAACCGUGGAGGGUCAUUGGAAACUGGGGGGACUUGAGUGCAGAAGAGGAAAAGCGGAAUUCCACGUGUAGCGGUGAAAAUGCGUAGAGAUGUGGAGGAACACCAGUGGCGAAGGCGGCUUUCUGGUCUGUAACUGACGCUGAGGCGCGAAAAGCGUGGGGGAGCAAACAGG
rnacentral:rRNA from 1 species